UGGUACUACACAAAAAGGGAAAAAAGGGAAAUUCUUUCAUCGUUUUAAACUAUUUCAGCUUUGGUGACACCUGCAGGAUUUGCAGUAUAUGAUCUAACACAUUUUGAAGACUCCUGGCAUUACUGCUUCAUAUACUUUAAAUAUUUUGAGGAGGAAAGGGGAGGGGGGGGAUAAAUAAAAAAAAAAAUACAUUUUAAAAAAAAGCACACUGGAAUUUGACUUCAGUUUAAUUCUUUGAGACAAACUGGACAAUGAGCAAACCUUUCCUAACACAAUCAGGGGUCCCUGACACCAAAUUAAAUCCUCCAUUUAAUCCUAGUAAAAAUAAAAAUACAGCUGGUAUUAAAGCAAUUAAAGCACACAUCCUUUAAAAUAAGAAAUAUGAUUACAAUACCAACAUUUAUUUUUAUUAUAAAAAUCAGUAAGAGUAAGAUAUAAUAAAGCCAGACACCCUACAUAAGUUGAAUUAUAAGCAGGCCUUUGAGACAUUAGCAGCAACAUAAUCCAAGGGGCUGGACACCCACCCACCCCACAGUGCAGCUACCAAUCUGUGGCAACAUUACAAUGAAAUGAAGCCUUUGUGGCAAAUAAAUACAUUUCGCUCUCCAAUGAACUAACUGAGAUUACCUCUAGUUGGAGCGCAGUGUGUGCAGCCAGCCAGAACAGCUUUUCAUUUUUUUCCCCUUCUUCCUUUUUAAAAUAUCAAUUUUAAGAGUCUGCACAGGAAGUUUUUUUUUUACCCAACUUCCCUCAAGCAUGUGAUCCUCUACCAUCGUUACAACACAUCCUAGCAGUGUGAAGACAUAUAGAAAAUUGAGAGGUAAUGAGCUUUUACCUUCCCUCUACUAACAUCUGCAGGCAGUUUUAGAGCACUAUGUAUCCAUGAAGCUUGAGUGGACCAGCAGUCUAGGAAUAAAACUGUGAUCCUGAGAAACAUAUCUACAUGGUGGUUUCUCUAACAAAAAGGCACACAAACAUGGAGACACCUUGCAGGUAGUUCUGUCUUCAAGAACACCAGAGACAUGGACAGAUGGUCAUCAGUGCAGAGGACAAACACAUGAUUUUAUAAUUAAAAAUAAAAUAAAAAAUACAGAUCCAGGCCAUUAAAAAGGUAUACUGCCAUUAAGAAACAUCUUUUCCCCAAAUCUCUAAAACAACACUUAAGGGAAAAAAAAAAAAAAAAAAAAAAAAAGAACGCAUAUGAAUUGAAACCUUUUUGGUUUAAUGUGAAAUAGCCUUGACGUUUUGAUGUUGAGUAGCAGACUAAUAUCAUAAUCAGUUUAUCAUUUCAAUCUGACUCACAGCGGUAACAGUGUUUAUAAACGCUGGUCUACCAAAUUAAAGGACGGUUGAACCUUCAAGUGUCCACCAAAACAAUUAAAAAUAAAAUUUAGCAUUAAAGAUACAGUAUGAUGUCAAAAGAUACCCUACUGGGAUCUAAGCUAUUAGUCGUCUAGGAGACAGUUAUUUACAUUCCAAUUUUAAGAGAUUUUACACCAAAUUUGCAGUAAUAUUGCUUUAAAUGUAAAAAUUUUAUAUAUACAAAAAACCAAACAAAAAAACAAAACAAGGGAAAACCUCUUGACUGGCAAAGUAUUUUAAGACAUCACAUGCAUCACAUGCAUGCUUACUUGCUUAUUUUCUUUAAAUGAAAGCUUUAAAAAAAAAAAAAAAAAAAAACCCCUCUCAGGAGGAGCGUUUUGGGGGGAGAAAAAAAAAAAACAACCCAAAAACAAAACCCACAACAAUAAAAAGGCCCUAUUUGGCUUCAAGUCAAGAUGUCCUGGCUUUGGCUUUGAACGGGCUACUAUUGGCCCAACAGUACCAUUCAGAUUUAAGGGUUUCUGGACUUUGGGUUGCUGUCUGCCUGGACAAAAGUAGAAUCUGGUAGUUUUUUUUCUUUUUUUUUCCUUUUUAUUCACUUCUCAUUCCACUGGGCUCUUCCUCUGACCAGAGCGACCCGAAUUUCGGCAGGUUAAACUACCUGAAACAAACCAGAAAGCAGUCAUCAACAUUUAUUACAAACACAAUUUUCUAACUCAACAGCAGCAUUAACACCCCCCCAAUAUUAAGAAGGUGACAAAACUAAGCAGACUGCUUGAUCCACACAAACUGAACAUUGCUUUAUUGACCAAGAAAAAACAAAAACGCAUUCAGGCAACAAUACCAGGUACAAUAACUCAGAGAAUGUGUUCUAAGACCACAUGGAAAACAACAGAUAAAAUAAGGACCAGAAUGCUACAUUUGAGGAAAAAGAUCAGAAAGUGUUUGCUCCAGAGUCCAGAAAAAGAUGGAUGAAUCUGAGCCUGCUGCAUAGAAAUCAUGUCGUCUCUCUUUAUGAGCCCUAGACAAUUGACCCAAUGCAAAAAUACACUGUCAACCAAGUCUAAUUUCUCUGAAAAUUGAAAUUGCACUUUGUCUCCAUAAAUUACAGAUAAUUCUCGUUUAAAAAAAAUAAAAAAAAUAAAGUUGGCAAAAUGUGUGCUUUAGGGAUGGAAAUACAUGGUAAAUGGCCUGCAUUUGUAUAGCGCUUUUCUAGUCCAUAGGACCCCAAAGUGCUUUACACUACAUUCAGUCAUUCACCCAUUCACACACUGGCAAGCUACAUUGUAGCCACAGCUGCCCUGGGGCGCACUGACAGAGGCGAGGCUGCCGGACACUGGCGCCACCGGGCCCUCUGACCACCACCAGUAGGCAAACACGGGGUUAGUAUCUUGCCCAAGGAUAUUUGGCAUGCAGCCAGGAGGCAGCCUGGGAUCGAACCACCGACCUUCUGAUUAGUGGCUGACCUGCUCUGCCACCUGAGCUACAGCCAUCCCACAUGUUGGGAAAGCAUCACUUUUAAAUUGGGUGCUAAUUGUACAUCUAAUCAAAGGCUCACUAUAGUGUUACUAUACAUGACUAUGCUGGCUAACAAUCCACAAUUAAGUACAAAUGCAGUGUAACUAAACUUAAUGAAGACGUAACAUAAUAAAUAGCCGUAUGCUUAUCUGUAGUUGCUAUGAUUAUUUUGGACUAGUUGGGCCCAAAUAGUUUAAAUUACUUUCAAUUUACAAACAAAAUAAAUCAAAUACAUGUUAAAAUUAGCUACAUAGUGCUAAUAGUAUAGGUUUGAGACAUCUGAUUCCAUGCAUAAAAAGUAUGGGAAAU
ensembl:lncRNA